UGCUGGUAUCCUGACCGUGCUAAGGUAGCAUAAUCAUUUGUCCAUUAAUUGUGGACUGGAAUGAAUGGGUUAAUGAAAUUUAAGCUGUCUCUAAUUAACAUUAUAAAAACUAGUCAUUAAGUGAAGAAACUUAAAUUAAAUUGAAAGACAAGAAGACCCUAUAGAGCUUUACUCUAACCUAAAAUAACUAUUUUAGCAACAGUUCGGUUGGGGCGACCAGGGAGCAUCAUCUCUAAACAAACAGAAAAAUAAUUCAUACAAUAUGACCCUUUAAAGAUCAUAAAAUCAAGCUACCUUAGGGAUAACAGGCUAAUUUUCCUACAGAGACCUUAUUAACAGGAAAGAUUGGCACCUCGAUGUGCAGAAAAGAAA
rnacentral:rRNA from 1 species